AUUGAACGCUGGCGGCAGGCUUAACACAUGCAAGUCGAGCGGAGAUGAGGUGCUUGCACCUUAUCUUAGCGGCGGACGGGUGAGUAAUGCUUAGGAAUCUGCCUAUUAGUGGGGGACAACAUUCCGAAAGGAAUGCUAAUACCGCAUACGCCCUACGGGGGAAAGCAGGGGAUCUUCGGACCUUGCGCUAAUAGAUGAGCCUAAGUCGGAUUAGCUAGUUGGUGGGGUAAAGGCCUACCAAGGCGACGAUCUGUAGCGGGUCUGAGGGGAUGAUCCGCCACACUGGGACUGAGACACGGCCCAGACUCCUACGGGAGGCAGCAGUGGGGAAUAUUGGACAAUGGGCGGAAGCCUGAUCCAGCCAUGCCGCGUGUGUGAAGAAGGCCUUUUGGUCGUAAAGCACUUUAAGCGAGGAGGAGGCUACCUGGAUUAAUACUCUAGGAUAGUGGACGUUACUCGCAGAAUAAGCACCGGCUAACUCUGUGCCAGCCGCCGCGGUAACAC
rnacentral:rRNA from 1 species